GCACUCUUGUUUCUCUUCAGAUCGUAUAAAUCUUUCGCCUUUUACUAAAGAUUUCCGUGGGGAGGAACAGCAAGAGUUUGAUUCAAUUUUUUGAUGCCCUGCAGUAGUAGGGCC
rnacentral:snRNA from 1 species